UUGCUAUUGUGCUUAUAUAUGCAUGCUUGUGUGAGAAGAAUGAUCGGUGCAAAAUGGGAGUUUUAUUAAAGUGACGUAGACGUAGCAAUGUGUGCUUUAUAGGAGUGGGUCAAAAGGUAUCAGAUGACAAGGCUGCUUGGAGUUUGCAGCAGAGUCAAACUUCCCUGCAUCGGAGAACAGGGAGGGGGAAUUUGUAUUGUCCCAGUCGAAUGCGCUGCUUCAUCCCAGGAGAGAUGGCCUGGCCUGUGUUGGAGUAGAACGGGGGGAAUCCACACAGCCUGAGAAGACAUGUUGGCAUCAGCCGAGGAUGCGGGCCACGUGCGGACCACCGGAAACCCUUGCAUGCAACUCCACCUCACGGCGGGCUUUUGGUGUGUCGUACAAAAUCUGAUAAAAAAAAAAAAACACAGACAUGACACAGGAAGAGGCGUCAAAAAGGCCGAGAACGUGCGCGGUGAUCUUGUAGUCGUCAGUCACCGCGUUUUUCCUCAACUUCAUUUGCGUCACGUGAGCAGCAGGCU